AUACAUGCAAGUCGAACGCUUCUUUUCCCACCGGAGCUUGCUCCACCGGGAAAAGAGGAGUGGCGAACGGGUGAGUAACACGUGGGUAACCUGCCCAUCAGAAGGGGAUAACACUUGGAAACAGGUGCUAAUACCGUAUAACAAUCGAAACCGCAUGGUUUCGUUUUGAAAGGCGCUUUACGGUGCCGCUGAUGGAUGGACCCGCGGUGCAUUAGCUAGUUGGUGAGGUAACGGCUCACCAAGGCCACGAUGCAUAGCCGACCUGAGAGGGUGAUCGGCCACAUUGGGACUGAGACACGGCCCAAACUCCUACGGGAGGCAGCAGUAGGGAAUCUUCGGCAAUGGACGAAAGUCUGACCGAGCAACGCCGCGUGAGUGAAGAAGGUUUUCGGAUCGUAAAACUCUGUUGUUAGAGAAGAACAAGGGUGAGAGUAACUGUUCACCCCUUGACGGUAUCUAACCAGAAAGCCACGGCUAACUACGUGCCAGCAGCCGCGGUAAUACGUAGGUGGCAAGCGUUGUCCGGAUUUAUUGGGCGUAAAGCGAGCGCAGGCGGUUUCUUAAGUCUGAUGUGAAAGCCCCCGGCUCAACCGGGGAGGGUCAUUGGAAACUGGGAGACUUGAGUGCAGAAGAGGAGAGUGGAAUUCCAUGUGUAGCGGUGAAAUGCGUAGAUAUAUGGAGGAACACCAGUGGCGAAGGCGGCUCUCUGGUCUGUAACUGACGCUGAGGCUCGAAAGC
rnacentral:rRNA from 1 species